AUUGAACGCUGGCGGCAUGCCUAACACAUGCAAGUCGAACGGCAGCACAAUAAAGAUUUCGGUCUUUAUGGGUGGCGAGUGGCGGACGGGUGAGUAACGCGUAGGAAUCUGUCCUGGAGAGUGGGAUAACCCGAGGAAACUCGGGCUAAUACUGCAUGACAUUGAGAGAUCAAAAGCAGGAGACCGAAAGGCCUUGCGCUCUGGGGUGAGCAUACGUCGGAUUAGCGAGUUGGUGGGGUAAAGGCCUGCCAAGGCGACGAUCCGUAGCUGGUCUGAGAGGAUGACCAGCCACACUGGGACUGAGACACGGCCCAGACUCCUACGGGAGGCAGCAGUGGGGAAUCUUGGACAAUGGGGGAAACCCUGAUCCAGCGAUGCCGCGUGUGUGAAGAGGGCCUUCGGGUUGUAAAGCACUUUAGGUGGGGAAGAAAGGUAGCGAGUGAAUAACUUUCCGCUGUGACGGUACCCACAGAAUAAGCACCGGCUAACUCUGUGCCAGCCGCCGCCGUAA
rnacentral:rRNA from 1 species